CCUACGGGGGGCAGCAGUGGGGAAUAUUGCACAAUGGGGGAAACCCUGAUGCAGCGACGCCGCGUGAGUGAAGAAGUAUCUCGGUAUGUAAAGCUCUAUCAGCAGGGAAGAAAAUGACGGUACCUGAAUAAGAAGCCCCGGCUAACUACGGGCCAGCAGCCGCGGUAAUACGUAGGGGGCAAGCGUUAUCCGGAUUUACUGGGUGUAAAGGGGGCGUAGACGGCAGCACAAGUCUGGAGUGAAAUCCCGGGGCUUAACCCCGGAACUGCUUUGGAAACUGUGCGGCUAGAGUGCAGGAGGGGUAAGCGGAAUUCCUAGUGUAGCGGUGAAAUGCGUAGAUAUUACGAGGAACACCGGUGGCGAAGGCAGCUUACUGGACUGUAACUGACGUUGAGGCUCGAAAGCGUGGGGAGCAAACAGGAUUAGAUACCCCAGUAGUC
rnacentral:rRNA from 1 species